UUCACGGCCACAUGGAUUACUACACCAUAGCGUGGUAGGGUUCAUGGCCACAUGGACUACUACACUAUAGCGUGGUAGGGUUCACGGCCACAUGGACUACUGCACCAUAGCGUGGUGGGUUCACGGCCAUGUGGACUACUACACUAGAGCGUGGUGGGGUUCAUGGCCACGUGGACAGCUACCCUUUAGCAUGGUGACAUUAACUUGUGCUGUUCUAACUCCCGUAACGUUCAUCAGAGUUUCACUGUGUGUCCAGAGCAGAAAUUCCUUGUUUGAUUUGCUUUAUUUUGCUGUUAUUUGAUAACUUCAUUAACAUAGCUUUAAAAAUUAAUCUUUACAUGCUUUUUCUGCAUAACAUUUUAACAUUUAAAUUAAAAUGAUUUUUAAAAAAGAUUUAUUUACUCAUUUGAAAGAGUUACACAUAGAGAGAAGGCAGAGAGAGAGAGAGAGGUCUUCCAUCCGCUGGUUCACUCUGCAGUUGGCUGCAAUGGCUGGAGCUGGGCUGAUCCAAAGCCAGGAGCCAGGACCUUCUUCUGGGUCUCCCACAUGGGUGCAGGGGCCCAGGGAGUUAGGCCAUCUUCCACUGCUUCCCCAGGCCACAGCAGAGAGCUGGGUUGGAAGUGGAGCAGCUGGGACUUGAACUGGCGCGCAUAGGGGAUGCCAGCACUGCAGGUGGUGGGUUUACCUACUAUGCCACAGUGCUGGCCCCAAAGUGCUUUCUUAAUCUAACUGUUUGGAGUUUAUAAAGCAAUGUGGAUGAGUACAUGGAGAAAUCAUUUUUGAGUUUUCAUCCAGCUCUGCUUUGUUCUCUAAGCAAAUCCUCCACAGUGCAGACGUGUGAAGUGCUGGCCUGUGUCUCACCGGUGGCGUGGCUUGGUGUGUGGCAUGACGCUGCUAAGACUCCGGUGAUCGGCGGUUACGUGUCACUGGCUGCUGCUUCUGGGACUCUCAAUCCUCCAGAAGGUCUGGGGCUCUCAGUCCUCCGGAAGGUCUGGGGCUCUCAGUCCUCCGGAAGGUCUGGGGCUCCCAGUCCUCCGGAAGGUCUGGGGCUCUCAGUCCUCCGGAAGGUCUGGGGCUCUCAGUCCUCCGGAAGGUCUGGGGCUCUCAGUCCUCCGGAAGGUCUGGGGCUCCCAGUCCUCCGGAAGGUCUGGGGCUCUCAGUCCUCCGGAAGGUCUGGGGCUCUCAGUCCUCCGGAAGGUCUGGGGCUCUCAGUCCUCCGGAAGGUCUGGGGCUCCCAGUCCUCCGGAAGGUCUGGGGCUCUCAGUCCUCCGGAAGGUCUGGGGCUCUCAGUCCUCCGGAAGGUCUGGGGCUCUCAGUCCUCCGGAAGGUCUGGGGCUCUCAGUCCUCCGGAAGGUCUGGGGCUCUGGAGCUGCUUUCAUGGAGGAAAUACAGUUGAUUUUGACUCGAGGGAAAGGUCACUUUUUCUUGUGGGCUCAGCUGGCUUCAUGUCUGAUUUUUUUAUAUAGUUGAUUAUUUUUUAAAGAUUUAUUUAUUUAUUUGAAAGUCAGAGCCACAUAGAAAGAGGAGAGGCAGAGAGCGAGAGAGAGAGGUCUCCAUCUGCUGGUUCACUCCCCAGAUGGCCACAACAGAUGGGGCUGCGCUGACCUGAAGCCAGGAGCUUCCUCCAGGUCUCCCACGCGGGUGCAGGGCCCAAGGACCUGGGCCCUCUUCCACUGCUUUCCCAGGCCACAGCAGAGAGCUGGAUCGGAAGUGGAGCGGCCGGGACUCUAGCCGGCACCUGUUUGGGAUGCUGCUGUCACACGUGGCGGCUUAACCUGCUGUGUUACAGUGCGAGUGCCGGUAGUAAUUCUCUAGACAUGCGGGAGCAGUCUGUAGAUGCCACGUGCCAGUGUGAGAGCAGCGUCCGCUCCACCUUUGCAGAGCAUGCAUCGCGUCUGUGUCGCUUGGUGGAGUUCUUUGCUGGAAUCACUGAUUCUCUGAGUCUGCAGAUGCCCGCAGGAGCUCAGGGCUGUGCGGAGGUUGCAGCCAGGAGCUGGGAACUCAGGCUGGGCCUCUGGCAGGACCCAGCUACUGAGCGGUCUCUGCUGCCUCCCAGGGCCACGUCAGGGGGCAGAGCCAGAUGUUAAAGCCAGGUGUCGUUAUGGGAUGUUGACGUCUUGAUGGGGCCUUAACCACUGGGCUGAGCGCUCAUCCUUUUGCAGAGGCCAGAAGGAAAUAUGAUACCAGCUGGGGGUGGGCAGGUCCCAUGUGCGUGCCAGGCCCUGCCCCUGUGGCCACAGUGUUGUCCUGCACUGGAUCAUCGCAUUUCGUGAUUCAGUUUGCAGCGCUGGCUGUGGUUCCUGAGUGGGUUUCUUCCGCUGAGCGUGGUUGCCAGUUGCUGCCACUGGGCCUGGUGUCUGAGCCUUCUUCUAGAAUUGCAAAGGGAAAGCCAUGUGGGCCCUGUUGAGCUGCCCGCUCGGGCCCCGCUUCCCAGGACCCGACUGGCACUGGUUCAUCAAGGUUGGCCUAGGAGAACUUGCGAGUUUUGUUGUUACGCUUCUGCUGUUUUGGACAGAUUGAUGAGUUUAAUGUGGAGCUUACGCGUUCCUCCCUGCACGCUGUGUUGCGUUGCUCUCUCUGUGAUAUGUGGUUGUUUGACAGUUCCAGGUUUUUCUGGAACGUUAGCCCCUAUCUUUGGUUUGGCUUCUUUUCUCUCAUUCCAUUUUUGUUUUACUGUUUAAGCUCUUUUAUUAUUAAAAACUACAGAAACGUAGAAAGACUAGUAAAUUAACGCCCUGUAGGCCUAGCGUUCUGGCGCAUCCACCUCAUUGCAGGAACCGUUUCAGAGUUGUCAGGCACGCCCUGGCACCGUGUCUCUGUGCGGCAGCAGGCAGCUCAGGGGCGGAGACUCCGCAGAGCCACACAGGCAAGGAAGCGCCUGAGGCCAGGCUGUGUUACGUUGUGCAGUUUUGUGGUUUUGAAACCACUGGUUAUUGGAUCCCGUUUAAACUUGGGUCUGUUCACCAGCUCAGCGCAGCUGCCAUUUGCCUGGAGCCUGGAGGGUGACGUGUGCUGGUGCCAGGAGGAACGAUGGGUGGAGAAGGACUGGUUUUAUACGUGCGUCUUAUCCUACGCUGGCGACUGUGGCCCAGGGCUGUGCGGCUUGGGAGGUGGGGCGCUGGGUGGAACUUGGGAAGUCUUGUCACUGUGCCCACGCCCUCCCCUGCGAGGGUCGUUGGUUACCAGGGAGUCCAGACAGCUGAUGAGGCGGACGGUGUGACUUUCUUCUGCCAGUUUAUAGCCAUUUCAAAACAAAUAGGUACGUUAUUUUCUCAGAGCUGCUAGUUGACGAGCUAACUAAUCUACCCACUAUGAUUCAGAGUUGAUGAUGGUGUUAUUAGCGAGUAAUAGCGAGACAUCCUUUCCGUGUGCGUGGACUUGGGGUUUAGUAAGACUGACUUAAGAGUACUGCUAGAACUUUGAAAAGACGCAGUUGUCUUCAAAGGCCAUCGACUCCGUGAAGUACGGAAAGGAGAGGAUGCGUGUGGGUUUACUGGUGGUCGUGCCGGGCUUUGUAGAACCUAGGAAAUAUUUGACCCUUCCAAAUUAAAUAUUACAACGUGAGGUUAUUAGGGUGUUUUCUUCUAAAAUUAAUAAUCCUCAACUGCUAAGAUUAUAUUCACUUUUAGGGUUUUUUAAACUUAAUAUUUUAUGUUUAUUUUUUGGUUACCCUCUACAAAAUAUAAAUAGUGAGCUUUAUGAAUCAGAUAUUUCAUGGUUGUAAAAAUCUUCCUUACAGCAUUAUGCAUUGUCUGCUUUAUAUAGCUCUGUUACCUAAAUAGUUACUUGAUGGUUAUGACAGGUUGACUCUGAUGUAAAUGUUCUGAAUAGUUUUAAGAAAUGAGAGGUUGCGUUUCAGAGAGGGGACCGUCCCCCCUUGUGUUCAUCUGGUUUCUUCUCAGAGUGGGGCUGUGGGCUUCCAGCCCCGGGUCCUGCCGUGUCCUCCAGCGCCUCGUCUCCCUUUUUAUUUUUAACAGGGAUCAUUGAUCUUUCAGGUGUUUGGUAAGGAAGGUCAUUUACUCCUUCUGCGUUGGGUAGGGAAAGUGGCGCGUCUCCCGGGUGCUUGGUUGUCUCUGUUCUCAGCGGUCAGCAGAUCAGUGUGCAGUGGGCAGGUGUCCGGGCUGAUGCACCGUGGCCACGAUGCUUUUGUUUCCCUCCUGCUGUUCUGAGUGGCCACCACGCGCAGCUGCUGGACGCUGGCUGGAGGUUGGCUGUAGGAGUGGGAAGUGGGGCCAUCUGCGUCUCCCCGGGCUGGGGGGUCCUGGCCCUUCUCCCGUUCAAGGUGUCCUUGCCUUCUCACCCAAACCCAGAGCCACAUGUGGGGGAAGAACCUUCCAGAUGCAUAAUUUGGUCAGCCCUUUGGAAACUUGCAGUGUGGGAGACACAGUCAGAGUGCCCUGUGUUAGCCGUUCAUCGCCGCCCUCAGUGUACAGUCUCAGCGAGCAAUUUUAAACUGUUUUAUGUCAGGAACAAAAGAAGCCAAUACUAACUCAACUAGUA